GAUGAACGCUGGCGGCGUGCCUAAUACAUGCAAGUCGAGCGAACAGACGAGGAGCUUGCUCCUUCGACGUUAGCGGCGGACGGGUGAGUAACACGUAUGUAACCUACCUAUAAGACUGGGAUAACUUCGGGAAACCGGAGCUAAUACCGGAUAAUAUUUCGAACCGCAUGGUUCGAUAGUGAAAGAUGGCUUUGCUAUUACUUAUUGAUGGACCGGUGCCGUAUUAGCUAGUUGGUAGGGUAACGGCUUACCAAGGCAACGAUACGUAGCCGACCUGAGAGGGUGAUCGGCCACACUGGAACUGAGACACGGUCCAGACUCCUACGGGAGGCAGCAGUAGGGAAUCUUCCGCAAUGGGCGAAAGCCUGACGGAGCAACGCCGCGUGAGUGAUGAAGGUCUUCGGAUCGUAAAACUCUGUUAUUAGGGAAGAACAAACGUGUAAGUAACUGUGCACGUCUUGACGGUACCUAAUCAGAAAGCCACGGCUAACUACGUG
rnacentral:rRNA from 1 species